rnacentral:rRNA from 1 species
UCGCGAAAACUUCACAAUGGGGGCAACCCCGAUGAGGGAAUUCCUAGUGCUAGCACAUUUGUGCUAGCUUUUCUUUAGCUUAGAAAACUAGAGGAAUAAGGGCUGGGUAAGACGGGUGCCAGCCGCCGCGGUAAUACCUGCAGCCCAAGUGGUGGUCGAUUUUAUUGAGUCUAAAACGUUCGUAGCCGGUUCGGUAAAUCUUUGGGUAAAUCGGGGGGCUUAACCUUCCGACUUCCGAGGAGACUGCCGAACUUGGGACCGGGAGAGGCUAGAGGUACUUCUGGGGUAGGGGUAAAAUCCUGUAAUCCUGGAAGGACCACCGGUGGCGAAGGCGUCUAGCUAGAACGGAUCCGACGGUGAGGGACGAAGCCCUGGGUCGCAAACGGGAUUAGAUACCCCGGUAGUCCAGGGUGUAAACGCUGCAGACUUGGUGUUGGAGGCCCUUUGGGGGCAUUCAGUGCCGGAGAGAAGUUGUUAAGUCUGCUACUUGGGGAGUACGUCCGCAAGGAUGAAACUUAAAGGAAUUGGCGGGGGAGCACCGCAACGGGAGGAGCGUGCGGUUUAAUUGGAUUCAACACCGUAAAACUCACCAGGGAAGACUGUUACAUGAAGGCUGGGCUAAAGACUCUGCCAGAUUUUCA